GACGAACGCUGGCGGCGUGCUUAACACAUGCAAGUCGAGCGAGGCCCCUCCUUCUUGGGGGUGUCCUAGCGGCGAACGGGUGAGUAACACGUGGGCAACCUGCCCUCAGCUCUUGGAUAACUCCUGGAAACCGGGGCUAAUACCGGAUACGACCUCCACGGGCAUCUGCGGAGGUGGAAAGUUUUUCGGCUGAGGAUGGGCCCGCGGCCUAUCAGCUAGUUGGUGGGGUAGUGGCCCACCAAGGCGACGACGGGUAGCCGGCCUGAGAGGGCGACCGGCCACACUGGGACUGAGACACGGCCCAGACUCCUACGGGAGGCAGCAGUGGGGAAUAUUGCGCAAUGGGCGAAAGCCUGACGCAGCGACGCCGCGUGAGGGACGAAGGCCUUCGGGUUGUAAACCUCUUUCAGCAGGGACGAAGCGAAAGUGACGGUACCUGCAGAAGAAGCACCGGCCAACUACGUG
rnacentral:rRNA from 1 species